rnacentral:ncRNA from 1 species
GCGGUACCGGUUCACGCCUGAGAGGCGACCCGGCGACC